rnacentral:rRNA from 1 species
AUUGAACGCUGGCGGCAGGCCUAACACAUGCAAGUCGAACGGUAACAGGAAGCAGCUUGCUGCUUUCGCUGACGAGUGGCGGACGGGUGAGUAAUGUCUGGGAAGCUGCCUGAUGGAGGGGGAUAACUACUGGAAACGGUAGCUAAUACCGCAUAAUGUCGCAAGACCAAAGAGGGGGACCUUCGGGCCUCUUGCCAUCGGAUGUGCCCAGAUGGGAUUAGCUUGUUGGUGGGGUAACGGCUCACCAAGGCGACGAUCCCUAGCUGGUCUGAGAGGAUGACCAGCCACACUGGAACUGAGACACGG